rnacentral:lncRNA from 1 species
AGUCAAAGAUGUUUUCCGUGCACCUCUGAGCUGUGACAGCUGCUGUGUUCUGGGGUAGACACUGCUUCUCCCAGACUUUGAAGGUUUUGUGAGGUCAGAAAAGUGGCUCCCUCUGCCUCCAGCCCACCUGUUGUGUCUGUUGCGGGACUCUUGGAGGAAGUUUCUGAGCUGUGCCUUGUGGAUGGUGGCUGUGUGUUAUGCUGUCUCAGAGGAGAGCGUGAGGCUUGCCUGGGAAGGAAGCCACCACGGAUUCCUAGCUAGAAGCUAAAGUGAAGAAUAACUGGGAGCUGAAACAGGAAGCCCCAUGACACAGUUGAUCGAAAAUGACACAGACACAGAAAAAUCAGGACGUGCCCCCAGCAGCACCCCUACCUGCUGCCUGCUGAUCACGGCUGGGAGGCCCGUCCAGGGUUCCCACCCGGGAACGGACUCUUAGCUACUCAGUGCUCACGGGUGCUGGGCCUGCAGAGCUUUUCGGAUGCUCUCUUACAGCUGGUUUGUUAUCUUUUAAUCAAUCAACUAAUUAAUCUAUUACUUUAUUUAUUGGCCCUCCCCAUGUCUUGAUCCUUUCUUCAUUAAAAGCAAAAGGAAAGAAAAU